UACGAAGGGGGCUAGCGUUGUUCGGAAUUACUGGGCGUAAAGCGCACGCAGGCGGUCUGGUAAGUUUGGAGUGACAGUGCCCGGCUCAACUGGGCAAGGCCUCUGAAGACUGCUGGACUUGAGGACCAGAGAGGGACAUAGAAUUCCGGGUGGAGUGGUGAAAUGCGUAGAUAUCCGGAGGAAUACCAAAGGCGAAGGCAGUGUCCUGGCUGGUAACUGACGCUCAGGUGCGAAAGCUAGGGGAGCGAACAGG
rnacentral:rRNA from 1 species